CAGCCACAUCAUGUUAAAAUACCAGUUCCCAUACCAUCACUGAAGUUAAGCAACUUUGAGACUAGUCAGUACCUAGAUGGGGUGACUGUUUGGGAAUACCAGGUGCUGUAAG